AAUCAGUUACUAAUUAAAACUUUUACUGAACAGAACAAGUAAAAAAUCAAGAAAAAUGAAAUUUUUAUCAAUUCUCGCAAUUGUCCUCCUCGGGACACUUUUUGUGCUCUUUAAGGAGACAUCAGCCUUGGAAGCUGAACCUGAAGCUCCAUCCGAUUUCGAACCCGCUGUACUUCCGGAAAACGAGCAUCAUUUGAACAAACGCCAGAUCCCGAUUUUCCCUUGCAAUCCCACGGGCUGCAUGAGACAAUGCAUGCGGAAAGGCAAAGGCGGCUUUUGUCGCAAUAAUCAAUGUUAUUGUACUAGAUAAACUUGUUUUUAGCUGAAAUUUGUUGAAAAAGUCAAUAAAAUGAAUUCUUGAGUAUUAA